UGGAAUUGACUAUGUCCAAAACAAGGAGAACUCGUGUUCGAACAACGUUAUCGUUGACCCGAAUACGUGCAAUUGCUGCUCAGAGCAUGUUCACUGUUUCCAAGUUCGUUCCGCAUGCUCCCUGCCACGUCGUCAUUUCACACGAGUUGAUGAAUUAUUUCGGUUUUUAACUUUCAGUAUAUUGCCACUACAGUCGAGACGCGUGCAAGACGUAUUCAUUGUUUUCACUUGGUCGAUCCAACAACAGUAUUGUUUUUGAAGUGUUCGUAGUUAAUAGAUCUCUGUAGGCUAACGUGUGCUGCGUCUAAC
rnacentral:lncRNA from 1 species